rnacentral:tRNA from 1 species
GCCCGGGUGUGUCCCGGCCGCCGGGCGGCGGAUUUCCCGCGGCCUCUCCCCGGGUGGCCGGGGUCCGGGUUCCGAGCCCGGCCGGGGCCC